rnacentral:tRNA from 1 species
GCCCCGGUGGCGGAACUGGUAGACGCGUAGGUUUCAGGUACCUAUGAUCGAAAGGUUGUGGAGGUUCAAGUCCUCUCCGGGGCACCA